ensembl:misc_RNA Y_RNA Y RNA
AGCUGAUCUGAGUGCAGUGGUGUUUACAACUGAUCGAUCACAACCAGUUACAGUUUCUUUUGUUCCUUUCCACUCCCACUUCUCUUGAUUAUCCUUAA